GAAAUCAGUUCAGCACUAAGUCACUUUGUCUAUAUGGCAAAUGUGAGAUGCAGUGUAUGGAACAUCAAUAUUCUAGUAUGAGAAAUUAACGAUUUAAGUCCUUCUUAAAUGAGGCCAUUUACCCAUAGAGGGUGCCAGGCCCGUAUAACGUUAAUGAUUAUUAGAUGGUGUUUCCAAAGAGUCGUGUUGCUUGAUAGUGCAGCACUAAGUGGGUGGUAAACUCCAUCUAAAACUAAAUAUAACCAUGAGACCGAUAGUAAACAAGUACCGUGAGGGAAAGUUGAAAAGAACUCUGAAUAGAGAGUUAAAUAGUACGUGAAACUGCUUAGAGGUUAAGCCCGAUGAACCUGAAUAUCCGUUAUGGAAAAUUCAUCAUUAGACUUGUAAUAUUUAAACAAUAUUAUGAUAAUAGUGUGCAUUUUUUCCAUAUAAGGACAUUGUAAUCUAUUAGUUAAAAAUAAUUUAUCAAAAAAUUUUAGAUAAAAGUUUAUUUAAAUUAAAGUGCUUGCAUUUUAACAUAAAAUAAAUGUCUUUAAUUUGGUAAAGUGCUGAUAGAUUUAUAUGAAUACAGUGCGUUAAUUUUUCGGAAUUAUAUAAUGGCAUGAUUAUCAUUGGUUUUUGUGUUUAUUAUAUGCACUUGUAUGAUUAACAAUGCGAAAGA
rnacentral:rRNA from 1 species